AUUGAACGCUGGCGGCAGGCUUAACACAUGCAAGUCGAGCGGGGGAAGGUAGCUUGCUACUGGACCUAGCGGCGGACGGGUGAGUAAUGCUUAGGAAUCUGCCUAUUAGUGGGGGACAACAUCUCGAAAGGGAUGCUAAUACCGCAUACGUCCUACGGGAGAAAGCAGGGGAUCUUCGGACCUUGCGCUAAUAGAUGAGCCUAAGUCGGAUUAGCUAGUUGGUGGGGUAAAGGCCUACCAAGGCGACGAUCUGUAGCGGGUCUGAGAGGAUGAACCGGGACACUGGGACUGGGACACGGCCCAGACUCCUACGGGAGGCAGGAGUGGGGAAUAUUGGACAAUGGGGGGAACCCUGAUCCAGCCAUGCCGCGUGUGUGAAGAAGGCCUUAUGGUUGUAAAGCACUUUAAGCGAGGAGGAGGCUACUCUAGUUAAUACCUAGGGAUAGUGGACGUUACUCGCAGAAUAAGCACCGGCUAACUCUGUGCCAGCCGCCGCAGUAA
rnacentral:rRNA from 1 species